GGGAAGAAGAAGAAUACACGGUACAAUGAUGAAUAAUUAAUAUCAUCUGAACAAGUUCAACUCUUACACACAUCCCGUAGACGACAGAUUGUAGAUCUUAUGCAUCUAAUAGUUGGGACGCUGGAAGGAUACUUGGAACUCCAAAUGAAGCUCGAAGUCUAUCCAUCGAGACAUUGUCAAUUUUUGAUCCAAAGUCCAAUUUAUAAGAACGAUCUUUCCUCUCAAUCACCUUAAACGGGCCCAAGAAAGUUGGAGAAAGAGACUCUUUUAUAGGUGUAUUUUUAACAAAAACAAAUGAGGUUUUUUUAAUUGAUUGUUAAUGGCUCCGUUAUUAAAGUGUCUCGGAGGAAAGUGUGUUAUUUUCUCUAUUGUUUUAGAAACUUUCGACGUUGAGGUUGUCCGUAGUAAAGUUGUACACAUUAAAAAAAUUAAAAGUCAUGGAUCCUGAGCGACCUGUGAGUAAUUAUAUGCAGGUCACAGAUGUAAGAUGUAGCUCCUCCUCAUGAUUUUCAACUCCUUAUUCACGGAGGACUAGAGGUUGACAAAGUUAAUGUAGCUAACUGGGCAGGCUUUGGACUCUACUUGUCACCAGAUGUAAUAGCCUGCAGGUUGAGAUCUAGGCUCUGAGGUGGCCAAAAGUUGAAUUUUAUGUAAUUAACAAGAUUCGUAGAGUACUCCGUAUGGAAUUAUUGAUGCUUUUGUAUCAAAAAUGGUGUCUUCUCAAACCUGUUUCACUUCUUCCGAACAGCCUUGACCACCUUUGACACUGUAGACCAGUCUAGGGAUUUUUUUUUUUUAAAUUGGGGUCGGCCUCAAAAGUGUGCUUGGUAGCUUCUGGGAUUAACUUGACUGGUCUACCGGUUCUAGGACAGUCUUUGAGGUCAGCCCCAUCUUCCAGGCUUUUUUUCGUCAAUCUAUUAUUCAAUAUCUAUAAUACAUCAUGUCUAUUGACAUUAUAAUUUUUAACAGAAAAUUAAGUGAUUACAACUUGUUCAUUUCAAACCGCUUUCAUUUUUGUUUAUUUUUCUUUUAUCUUAAUAUAUAUUAAAUUGGAGAUUGGUAUUAUAUCAGAAAAAAAGAAUUUUGCUACUUUGUCUAAUUUUUCCUUUUUUUCCCCUAUCAUAUUUUAAAAUCUGUUUACACACCCUUUAUCAGGCAGUUGGUAAUUAAAUUAAAGAAUUAUUCUGAGCUUAUU
rnacentral:lncRNA from 1 species